rnacentral:lncRNA from 1 species
UUUUUCACCUCUCUUUAGGUUUUGCUUCUUUUCUUUUUCUGACAGUUGUUCUUCCAUUUUAGGCGACGGGCCUCUUUAUGGAGGUGGAUGCUCGUGAUCGCUCCCUCCAGGAGUCUGUAGACCGCCGGAUCGAGGAGGCGCGUCUGGAAGAGAACUUAUCUGCAACCAGUGAUGCCAGGGGUAAUCUGGUAGCUGCUCGAGAGCAAAUCCAGUCCCUCCAAGUGGAGCUGCAUUCGGCGCUAGAGGCCCUUAAAAAGGCUGAUGAGAAGGCGGCUGAGACAGCAGGGCAUACCAAAUCUUUAGAAGCAGAGCUGUCUCAGACUCGCGAGGUUCUCAAAGUGUCUGAUGAGAGGGCAGCUGCCUUGGAGGUUCGCUGCGAAGGAGUUUUAAAGCAGCUGUCUUCU